ACGGGGGGAGCAAGCGUUGUUCGGAUUUACUGGGCGUAAAGGGCGCGUAGGCGGCGCGAGGAGUCGGGGGUGAAAGUCCGGGGCUCAACCCCGGAUCGGCCUCCGAUACUCUCGCGCUGGAGCACAGUAGAGGCGGGUGGAAUUCCGGGUGUAGCGGUGGAAUGCGUAGAGAUCCGGAAGAACACCGGUGGCGAAGGCGGCCCGCUGGGCUGUGGCUGACGCUGAGGCGCGACAGCGUGGGGAGCAAACAGGA
rnacentral:rRNA from 1 species